rnacentral:piRNA from 1 species
UAAGUCUCUGAUGUGAUGUAUUAAAUCCCUA